rnacentral:rRNA from 1 species
AUGGAUGAUGUGGACGAUGUCCUAAAGACUGUCAACUUCUUUAGGGAGAUGAAAGCUAUAAACAGGGAAUUCUUCUGUGACAUGCAACUUGAUGAGUCCGACAGAGUUAAGAACAUAUUCUGGGCGAAUGCAAGCUGCCGAGGGGCAUAUCAGGACUUUGGUGACUGCGUAAUGUUUCACACCACAUAUAAGACCAACAAGUACCAUAUGCCACUUGGGGUGCUUGUGGGUACUAACAACCACUUACAGACUACAUUCUUUGGUUUCGCCCUGAUAAGAGAUGACGAUGCAGAUUCAUUCAGAUGGUUGUUCAAGACAUUUUUAAGGUGCAUGAGAGGGAAGGCUCCUACAUGCAUCCUCACAGACCAGUGCCCGGCAAUGGCUUUGGCGAUCCCAGAUGCUUUCAAGGACACAGUACACAAGCUGUGCCGCUGGCACAUUAUGAAGAAGUACAGGGAACACCUCGCAUACCUAUACAACCUGCACGAAGGCUUUAAGUAUGAAUUCACAUCAAUCCCCAACCGGACCCUCAUGCCAACUCAGUUUGAGGCUGCCUGA